rnacentral:rRNA from 1 species
AGGGUGUAAACGCUGCAGACUUGGUGUUGGAGGCCCUUUGGGGGCAUUCAGUGCCGGAGAGAAGUUGUUAAGUCUGCUACUUGGGGAGUACGUCCGCAAGGAUGAAACUUAAAGGAAUUGGCGGGGGAGCACCGCAACGGGAGGAGCGUGCGGUUUAAUUGGAUUCAACACCGUAAAACUCACCAGGGAAGACUGUUACAUGAAGGCCGAGAUGAAGACCUUACUAGAUUUUCAGAGAGGAGGUGCAUGGCGUCAGUGACU